AUUGAACGCUGGCGGCAUGCUCUACACAUGCAAGUCGAACGGCAGUGCGGGGCAACCUGGCGGCGAGUGGCGAACGGGUGAGUAAUAUAUCGGAACGUACCCAGAAGUGGGGGAUAACGUAGCGAAAGUUACGCUAAUACCGCAUACGAUCUACGGAUGAAAGUAGGGGACCGCAAGGCCUUAUGCUUUUGGAGCGGCCGAUAUCUGAUUAGCUAGUUGGUGAGGUAAAGGCUCACCAAGGCGACGAUCAGUAGCUGGUCUGAGAGGACGACCAGCCACACUGGAACUGAGACACGGUCCAGACUCCUACGGGAGGCAGCAGUGGGGAAUUUUGGACAAUGGGCGCAAGCCUGAUCCAGCAAUGCCGCGUGAGUGAAGAAGGCCUUCGGGUUGUAAAGCUCUUUUGUCAGGGAAGAAACGGUAGAGGCUAAUAUCCUUUGCUAAUGACGGUACCUGAAGAAUAAGCACCGGCUAACUACGUG
rnacentral:rRNA from 1 species